rnacentral:lncRNA from 10 species
AGUCAGUAUUUUGACUUAAAUUAUAUCAAAUCUACAGAUCAGUUGAUGGACCACUGCAAUUUUUAUGAUUUGGAGACUUCUGAUCCAGGGACAUGUUCUUUUAGGGAAGGAUGUAGAGCAAAAGAUAUGCAUAAACUUGUGAAACUUUACCACUGUUCAGAAUUCCUCAGAGAGAGAAACUACAUUCAUCUUGGAAAUCCAUAUUGCGUACUUUGAAGAACUGCAGUUCUUCUUGCAAACUCUUUAUUUCUUUGAAGUUAGGUCAGGAGAAUAAUACGGCAUCAUUCUGUGGACAAGCCAUGGUUAUUGCCACCAAAUAAAAUGUCUCUGUAUCAAGAA